CCUGAAGCCCAGCACUUGAGAAAUGCUCGCUCUCACGUAUUAUGACUCUGGCUUUGGAAAGAAAUUCAGCAAGGGUACUGGUUGAAAGGUCAAAAAGUGGUGAAAUGCCAUCUGCCCAAACGGAAGCAAGGGGUCGCUUGGAUUGGAGGAGAGAGCCGCUAAGUGCUCUGACCCCCUUGCUUCCAGCACGUUCAUACGAAUUGGGAUUUGGUGGCCUCACACGCAUAGGCUCACGAUCCUCACAGGGGACAGGGAAGACGCCACGAUCUGCAUUUUACCGACAGGAGGCGCAGGAACUUGCCGGAGAUCGCAGAGCAGGAAAGCCUAAAAGAACAUCUUGUGUCCCAGAAAUCAAGGACUGUACAAUGGGAACAGAAAACUCCAGCUGGUGGAAUCAUGUGGCCCUCAGAAAAUGCCUUCCAACUUCUAGCCUGAGAUCCUGGGAAUCUUCUCCACUGUCACAGACCUUCUGUGAGAAGGGGGGACGCUUCCCAGCUCCACGUCCCUGAUGUGGCUGCCAUGUCCUGGGGCAGAGGCCAGUGAGGAGAAGCAGCUGGGUGUAGGCGGCCAGGCCCUGGGGGCUAGAGGGGGCAGAGUCCAUUCCCAGAGCUCCUUUCAGAGUCCGCUCCCUGUCCAUGUCCUCUGAGGGCCCAGGGGUGGGCCUCCUUGCCUUUGCCUUCUUGAAGUUUCCUUGGCCGGGAGCAGUGGCUCACGCCUGUAAUCCCAGCACUUUGGGAGGCCGAGGCUGGUGGAUCACUUGAGGUCAGGAGAUAAGGACCAGCCUGGCCAGCAUGGUGAAACCUCGUCUCUACUAAAAAAAAAUACAAAAAUUA
rnacentral:lncRNA from 1 species